UGACCCGACUUUAUUUGUACGUGCGUUUCUUUUCCAAAACCCUAGAGAGCCUCCAUCUCCAUCUCCAUUCUCCAUCUCCAUUCCAAUGAUCAUCUCCUCACAUGUCUUUCCUAAUAAAUUCCAUCUGAGCAUCGUGAAUCCUUCAUUCGUUUCAUUCAACACGGCUAUUCUGACCCAAAUCAAAGGACGCUUCUUUCUAAACCCUAGCCUCCUUCAUCUCGCUCUUCUGGAUCAAUCAUAUUCUCAUCAAAUGGUUCAAUAAUCAGGUAUGAUUCCUUUCAAUCACAGAUCCAUGUAUCUCGAUCUAAAUCUCCCCUCUCUAUUGGAAACGAAGCCAUUGUUGUCUUAACGGCAAGAUCAGGUUUGUAACGGUUGGAGAUUGAGAUUAGUAGAUGGUGGAUGCAUUGUGGUAAUGCACCUUAUGGCGAGGUUUAUCGUUCCAGAAUGGUGAUGGGACUGUAAGUUGCUCUAUAACAGAGAUAACGGUUAGGGUUUGUGAUGAUGGUGGUGUCGACUACAGUAGAGGAGAGGAAAGGCUUUCUUUUAUGUGUGUGUUUUAGGAGAGAUCUUGACAGCCAAAGCAGACUGUAUGUAAUAUCAUAAUGUUUUCUCAGGGGUUAUCUUUCAUGUCUACAUGCACAAUAGAGGAGGUUUCUUCCAGUUCCGAUGUUGUUCGAUUCUUUGAAUUAUAUGUCUACAAGAGACGUGAAAUGUAUGCUCUGAUGGUGAAAAGAGCUGAAACAAAUGGAUUCAAAGAAUGUGGGUUCAAAUCUUGAAGCUUCUGCAUCCAGGAACUUUGAUCCUUCUUUAUCUUGGAUGAACAUUGCUUGGUUAAAGUCCAUUACAAAAAUGCCAAUAAUGAUCAAUUGUGUACUCACCCGUGAAGAGGGUAAGACACGUUUGACCAUUAUCCGAUCCACCCAUUCCACCUAUCGUGCUACCUCUAAUUAUGUCUACGAAUCUUGGCCGCCAUUAAAGCUAUGGAAGUAGGAGUUGAAAGAAUCAUAUUGUCUAACCAUGGAGCUCGCCAGUUAGAUUAUGUUCCUACCACCCUUGCGGUUCUCAAAGAGUGGUAGGUGCAGUUUAAGGAAGAGUACCAGUUCUGUUUGAUGGAGGAAUAAGGCGAGGAACGAAUGUAUUCAAAGCUGAUCGCUCUGGAUUGUGGAAACAUUUUUAGCCAUGUGUAUGCAACUGGUAGAAAUAUGUUGGUCCAGUGGUUGGUGAAAAGAUUUAAUAUUUUACAAUGGAUAUAGCAGCAUGUGAAAGUGCCUUCAAGCAACUUCUUACAGACGAUAACAACACCAGAAUAUGUCAACAUGUAGCAAUUGCUAUUAAUAGGGUGUACACAGGACCAAAUGGAUCAAUACAUGGUUAAUCAGAAGUCUAUAGUUUUGUUUAGGUUUAUUCCUGUUAUUUUUUACCUUGCAUAGGUGUCGCUUUCUUCAAGCAUAUUGUUUAGAUAUAUACAUACAACCCAUCAGGGGAGUUAACUGAAAAUAUGUAUUCAGGUUCGAAUAUUAAUAAUAAAUGGGUCUGGGUUCCUCGGGUUCUUUCUUUU